rnacentral:rRNA from 1 species
UGGGGAAUCUUGCGCAAUGGGCGAAAGCCUGACGCAGCGACGCCGCGUGUGGGAUGAAGGCCUUCGGGUUGUAAACCACUGUCGGGAGGGACGAAGCUCUGACGGUACCUCUAAAGGAAGCACCGGCUAACUCUGUGCCAGCAGCCGCGGUAAUACAGAGGGUGCGAGCGUUGUCCGGAAUUACUGGGCGUAAAGGGCGCGUAGGCGGUUCGAUAAGUCGGGGGUGAAAUGCUGCGGCUCAACCGGAGCAUGGCCUUCGAGACUGUCGGGCUGGAGCACGGUAGAGGCUGGCGGAAUUCCUGGUGUAGCGGUGGAAUGCGUAGAGAUCAGGAAGAACACCGGUGGCGAAGGCGACCAGCUGGGCCGUUGCUGACGCUGAGGCGCGACAGCGUGGGGAGCAAACAGG